CCCCCUACUCCCUCCCACAUUCAGACUCUCCUCAUAGUCUCCCCGUUGGUCACAAAAUGAAGUGGGAGAGCCAGAAAGCAUCUUA